AGAGAUCUAGUCAACAACUUAUUACUUUAACUAUAGCCAAUACUCAAUUAUAUGAAAAUAAUUCUAUACUAUUAAUUAUAUGAAAAUAAUUCUAUACUAUUAAUUAUAUGAAAAUAAUUCUAUAUCUUAUAGAGAGUAUAAGUUUUUUGUUUAUUAUAUGCAACUAUAUUGAUGGCUACUAUUAGACAUCUAAAUCUACAUCUUUGUUUUGUUUCUAGUUGCUGAAGAUAAAUAACUUGGUUGGAGAUUCAAUAAAUACCUACUUCAAAUAUUAAAAAGUAAUCUUAAAUAUUACUUAAUAUACAAUGUCUAUACUUUAGGAGUCACUCUUUAUUGGUGCUUUUGAUAUGUUGCAUUUUAUGACUAUUUUAGCCUAUAUAUAAAGCCUUUUUCUUUCUUUUCAAUCAUAAUACAAACUUAACUUUAUUUCACUUGUGUAUUAAUUAUAAUUUCUAAAAUGAGCUAUUUGUCUCAUUAUUUUUCU
rnacentral:lncRNA from 1 species